GCUUUUUUUUUUUUUUCAUUUAGGAAGAAAAAUAUAUCCUGCCCAAAACUAAAUCUGCUUGCUAAAUAUUCAGUGAAAAAAGUCAAAUGGUAACUACUGUGGCUUUGUGAGUAAUGUGUUAUCCAUAGUUUAGAAAGUCUUGUCCUGAUAAGACACACAGUGGACAACACAUAUAAGAUGAAGUUUAUGCACUAGUAUAAGGUUUUGAGGACCUGCCUCAUGGCUGGGCAAAUCCCUGGGCAUGCCUGUGGGCAUCUGAUCCACUUCACUGCCAUUGCAUUGGAAAGAAAAGCCUGCUGUUACCAAGGACUUAUUAGAAGACAGAUGCCUUCAGUGCUUAUCAUGGAGUUAGGGGAUGCUAUACUGCAUGAAGCACAGAAGUAGAUGAUUUGGUCUGGUGUGCCUUGGGAACAUGGACUAGUGCAAGGCAGGGGUAGAAUGAACUGCAGACUCCUGGAAAGCAAGAGGGAGAGUGCCAUGAUUCUGCCCUCACUGGAGUGAAAGCUAAUCAAGAAUAUGCUGGAAUAAAUCCCUAUGUGCAUCAAAGAUACAUCGGUAUCAAAUUAAUGGAAAGGAGAAAGGAAUUUAGGACAGCUAAGAUCUGCUGAUAGGGUCAAGUGACCUCCCUGUCCUCAGGUCUACAUUUUGGAAACACAAAUUGCACUUUGGUUUCACUUUGAAAUGUGUAAGCCAAAUUGUGAUGCUUACAGAGAGCAAGAAGAUUGGAAGAUGCGAAAGUCUUGUGAUCAGGGAGCGAGAGGAUAGCAGCAUGGUAUGGUGAUGUGAAGUUGAGCAAAAGAAAAUUAGAAUUUUUCUCUCCAGUUAUUUAGACGAAAGAAGUUAAAUCUCCGUUUUCUUACGCUUAAAUAAAAGUCUCUCUAUUCUAUGGUAUAAAAGACCACGCAGGAAUGAGCUUAGACUGUGGUAACACAUAAUUCCAAGUUAGUGAAGAGACAGUAUGUUUUGUAUUAUCUUUUCUCUUGUUUUUGAUUGCCGUUUUUGGGGGGUUGAUAUUACUGUAAGUAAAUACAUUUGUCUUUUGUUUCAUUUUCCCCCUGUGACCUAUUUCAUUUAAUUAGAAGGAAAUGCAUAAUAGGAAAUGAGUAUCAUCACACUGGGCUCCAUCCAAAGCCUGGGAAACCAUCAGGAGUUUUUUACUCCUGAAAAAGCAUUUCCCAGGCUUUUUACUGUCACUGGGUCCAGCCCAGCAGAAAAGAGGGGCUAUUUCCACGUUAUCUGGAAGAAUGUGUGCUGCUGGUAUAAAAAUAUUACAGCUCUUAUUUUAAAGUCUGGCCCCAAUACUAGGGAAGGAUCUUGCUACUGCAUGUGCCUCUCUAUGCCACAUGUUUCACAUCUGUGGCAACACAUUAAAGGAUAAAGGUUCCUAAAACUUUAACUCUGACUAUACAUACAAAAAGAAAAUACAAAUUAAGGCAAAGAUAAAAGAUAUUGAUGGAAGUACAGGAGAUGCUCUUUAACAUGCAUAUUAUUGACUCAAUAGAUUGUUACGGCUUCAGAGCUAUUAGGGUCUGCUGUGUCAAUGUGUACUUAGGGACUGUUUAAUAUGCAGAUGGUUGACAUGACAGACUGGAGCCAUUACAGUCUAUCAUGUCAGGGGGGAUACAUGAAUACGCACUUUGCCAACACAGUAAAAAGUCCCUUUAAAAUACAGUAGCUCUUUUUUGCAAUAAUUUAAUAGGUUUGGUUCUUUGGAUGCCCAGAGACUUGAGAGUUUGGAUUUAUCAGAAACAAAAUUUAUUUCCAAAUUAAGUCAUUUUCCAUGUGGAAUGUGCAGUCUGGAGGACAGGGUGUAAUCUCAGAUACACAGCUCCUAUCAAAUCUUGUAAAAUUAGCUACCGCACUUGUGCAUGUGUAGAAGAGAUCAGAAUCUAUCUGUCGGCAUGUGUCUUUUUGAAGAAUAUAGUUUUGUCUUUUUGAGGGGUAAGGGAGAAUGUCGUCUCUUUUUUCAUUCAAAUAAUCUUCAGUAGCAAUUAAAUAGCUUAUGCUACCUAAGAGAUCAGUUAUUACAAGAUAAGCAGCAUGACAGUUUGGAAAACUGAAUAAGUCUUUGAUUAUUUACUAAGUUUUGAUAUCUGCUAUUUGCCUCAAAAUACUAAAAAGUGAAGUAUAAGAUACAAACAUGAAAGGCUCAUUUGAUCAUCAUAAGGAAAGGAAUCAGUAGUUUUGCUUUUCUUUUCCUCAACAACUUAUUUUUUAUUAAAAUAGCAGAGCCAAGUGUUGUGUUUAAUAAGAUAUAUUUUUUUCAUUUGAAUAUCAAAUGGAAAAAUACAAUUAAAAUAUUUCUGCUUUUACAUUAAUCGUAGGCUAUAUUUCAGCAAUGCAUAUAUCUAAGAAGCUCAGCAUACACAUUUGGUAUAUAUUAGAUUCUUCUAACAGAUGCCCAGACCUCUUCCCCUGAUUUUUAAUGUUCUUUUUUAUGGCAGUGAUCCAGGGACAUUUUAAUUUGCAAGCCUGUGAACUUGGAAAUAAUACUUGUAGUGGGGCAUUAUGUCUAGUCCAUUCCCUCUAAGUUUAUUGUCCUGUGUCACCUAGCUCUGAUUUUAGCUGAUUUGCUGAACAGAGUCGCAUGGUGCAAUUCCAGCACAAAAUUCACUGAGCAAAAGCACUCUGCCUUGCAAAUAACAGUAAUUGUGCAGUAUUAUAAAGGUCUUUCCUCUUAUUUGUGGAAGAGUUUGGUGACAAAUUCUACAAAAAAGUGGAUUUUUAGCAAAUGUGAAGGCUGAUUUCUGACAGUUCCUUUUACUGCCUGGUGCUAACGGGGAGACCAUGGGGGCAGUUUGGUUGUGGUGGUGAUGGGUAGGGCAAGUGCGAGGAGGUAGAAGGUGCAGAGAGUACAUUUCUCAUAACCUGUUACACCAGGUGCUCCUGGGUCUUCUGUGAGGUUUCUACAAUGACACAGGAAAGCCAGGAAAACCUUAGGAAAAAAGAGAGGUCUGGAAAAGCCCAGGACAUAGCUUCUUUUUACAGCUGAAUUCACCCUGUGGUCAUGGAGAGGUCUCUAAUGGGAGAUACAUCUCCCUGGUGCUGAGUUAGCCCUGCAACAAGGGAGGACCAAGCAGCAGCAGCCUGAGCUGCAGGAAAAUAUAUCAUAGCUUCAAACUGCAUCAGUACCUGUGGGAAAGGUGAGCUUUGUUCCCUCAUCAGCUCUGGGACAGUGGGUACGUCCUUGUGGCAGUGGGCUGUGUCCAUGGCUGUGGAGUUCCAGCUCCCACAGCCCUUCUGCCUCCACCUCUGGCCAUCAUAGUGGCUGAGGUGACACAUGUGGCUCGCCAGACCUCUCUGCCCUUCUCCUUCCCCAGUGCAGCCCUGAAAGUUCCUCAUCCCUCUCUGUGUUACCCAUGUGCGGGGUAACAUCGUCGCAUCGUCAGCCGAAAGAGACAUGUAUGAAGGUAGGAUGUGAAGCUCUGUGUUACCUGGUGCUAAUCAAUAAAGCAAAAAUGUAGCUUUUUGACAACGCUUGUAAUUUUGACUAUUGCAAUGGUGUGCCAUUCCUUUGAAUGCAGUACGCUUCUGUGCCCCAUUAAAGCAUGGCUGGCAUUGCUUUCAACUAUUCACAAAUGCUGAGAUGUUGAAAAAUGUAACAUUUACAAAAGAUACAUCUGGUGUAUAUUUACAAGGCUCAGGAAUCAUUUAAAUAGUGUCUGUGCCAUCACCAUAUUAGGAGAAAAGUUAGUCCCAGCCGCAUAUGUGAAAUCAGUAGUCAAAUGUGUGCUGGUUGAAAGUCCAUUGCUAUGAUAUGGUAUUUUGAGGUAUUAAACUCGAAAAUACCAACCCGGGUAUAAUGCUCGAAUUAGAUAGAUAUAAGCCUGCAUAAAAUGUGUCAUAACUACCUAUAGACACCUAUUUAAACAGUGUGGUCAGAAGAGGGUUAUGGGUUUUGAGGGAUAAAUGCUUAAUUGUUUUUUUUUUUUUUAAGUAAAGCACAAUUUUUAGCUUCUCAUUGUGAGAUGUCAUCAUACCUUUUUUCCUGUUCUUCAGUGAGAAUUGAAAGACCUACCUUGGAAUCGCGGAAAAAGCUAUUGAACAGCUUCCUUUAUAUCACAUAACAUUUCAAGGACAAAAAGGCCUGCUCUUUUCUCCAGUCUUGGUAUGUGGAUUUCUCUCUCUCCAAGUAAUUCCUUAGCAUACCCUUGAAUGGCAUCUACCACACACAGAGAACCCUGUAUUCUGCCUGGCAAAAUAAGACUGUGCAGCCCUUCUUCCCCAGAAUUCCAGCAGCGAUGCUCUCAAGGGACCUCUCGAAGUGGUGGCUGAAGUUGCAAUGUUGUGAACAUGGUGCAGGUUAACUCUGCAAAAAGGCGUUUUCUUUGCCUCUCAGAUAACUUUUUCAACCCACAAGGCUGAAACAACUUCUCUUAACUGAAAUGACCCCAGCAGAACUAUUCACUAGAAGACAUCCUCCUUGAUUUUUUGUAAGAUGACUGGAGUUGUAGAACAGCAAAGACUUGGAACAGACAUUGAGGUCCUAUUGCUCCUGUCGGAAACUUCUGUUGUCUGCAGCGUGAGUUGGAUGGGACCCAGAGAAACCAAAUACAGACAAGUAAUGAUGAGUUGGCCAUACAAGCAAGGAAAAUCACAGAUAACAGGUGCACACCAAUUAGCAAUGUAUCUUUUGGGUCAUCCAGUACAUCUUCCUGACACAAUGAAGUUGUUUCUUAUGGCAUAUUUUUUGUGGUUUUUUUGUGCCUGGAUUAAAUUUCCUAAGUGAUACCAUAUCUCAAGGGAGAGGUUGUGUUGCCUAGAGUAUCUUGUUGUCAGGACUUUUUUUCCUUUCUUAAUGUCAUCAUAUUUCUUCUUUUUACAUCCCUUUGCAAAUUUCCUUCUUUCCCUUCUUUGAUCUCUUUUAACUAUUUUGAUGUUGUGUUUAGUAAGCAUUAAGGCAACUCAUAGAUAUUUAGCUGGCUUAAUCUUCCCCAAUGUAGCAGCCCUUUCAGCCUUCUUGCUAUUCUUAAUUUCUUCUUGUGACACAGCUGCCUGUCAGUAUCUUUUUUAGUUAUGAGAUUUUAAAGAUGUGAUGCAUUUCUCUGAUCUAACAACAGAUCUGGUAUAGAGCUGAGCACCCUUAGUGUCUUGUCACCGAAAGCCCCUGCUGAUGUGUCCAGGGGAGAGCUGCAAGCUUUCUGAACAGGCACAUAGGUAGAUUAUCCUGCUUGAACCACUUCCUUGGCACUACUUUAUUGACCCACAAAACACUAUUAAAACAGUUAAUCUAGGAGUUCAGAAAAACAAGUACAUGGCAUUUUGCAUUUUCAAAUUUAUUUUCUAUUUCUCAUAAUGUAAAAAGACAGAAUAGCACAGAUCAAAAAUCUUUGAUGCUGUUGAGAUUUUCUAACUCUUGGUCAUGAACAUAACAGAAUAAAAUUAUGGAAGACAACAUCUUCCAUGACUUCAUCUAAGUGCUAGGAGAGAACAUUGUAGAAGGUAAUUAUAUACAUAGUCACAAGCCUAGAUGUUCACUUCAGACAAAAAAUUCUGAUCUACAGACUACAACAGCCCUUUUGUGCUAGAUGAGAUUUUGGUUGUAAUUGACUGUCUUUACCUUUGUGUUCUGUUGGAUUGGAGGAAUAUAAUUUUAAUCUGCUCUCUUUAAAUUUUCAUCAAGGAAUGUUUCAGCUACCUGCAGCCUCAUCCGAUGAUGCUUAAUGAUCUCAGCUAGCUCGAUCUUCUGUGCACCAGCAGGGACUUCCUUAAAUUGGUCAACUGUAUAGAACAUUGUUUUCAAGUUUAAUGUAGUUGGAAUUAACCUUAUAAAAUAAUGGCGUAUCUAAAAACAGAUUUUAUACAUAGCACAGACAUGUAUGUGUACAUUUAUAUGUGCAUGUGUGUGUAUACAUGUGUAUAUAUAAGUGCACACAUAUGUAUAGAAAUGCUGAUGCUACUCACCUUUUUGAAAUCUUUACAGCUAGUAUUAACAUGAAUGUGCUGUUAAAUUUGCAGUGUUAUGCAUUUUUGUUGGAGUUUACUUCUGUAAGAUAAAACCAUAAAGAUAAGCUGUGAAACUCGUGCAGCUGAUGACAUAAUUCUAGAAUCUCGUGAUGCUGAAUAUCACAUUUGUAGGAGUGUGGGAUGGAUGUUCCUCACUGAAAUAAUUAUACUGCCUAUUGCAAUAUAUGCUUCCUUGUUUUUAUGUGGGCACAGAGAUGUCCAAACUAUUAAACAUAUAUGGUACAAUGA